GAUGAACGCUGGCGGUAUGCUUAACACAUGCAAGUCGAACGGACUCUUCGGAGUUAGUGGCGGACGGGUGAGUAACGCGUGAGAAUCUGGCUUUGGGUUCGGGACAACCACUGGAAACGGUGGCUAAUACCGGAUGUGCCGAGAGGUAAAAGAGAAAUUGCCUGAAGAUGAGCUCGCGUCUGAUUAGCUAGUUGGUGAGGUAAAGGCUCACCAAGGCAGCGAUCAGUAGCUGGUCUGAGAGGAUGACCAGCCACACUGGGACUGAGACACGGCCCAGACUACUACGGGAGGCAGCAGUGGGGAAUUUUCCGCAAUGGGCGAAAGCCUGACGGAGCAAUACCGCGUGAGGGGAGGAGGCUCUUGGGUUGUAAACCUCUUUUCUUAGGGAAGAACAAAAUGACGGUACCUAAGGAAUCAGCAUCGGCUAACUCCGUG
rnacentral:rRNA from 1 species